UAUGGACGUUUUAAGACGAGAAGGUCCCAACCCGAUUUCAAGUUGGGUCAAACCCAUUUCCCCUUGGUAUUUAAGGGAAAUGUUAACCCUAGCAGCCCCAUUUCCUCCAUAUUUUCAGAUUUUAGAGAGAGAAAGGGAGAGAGGAGAAUUAGAGAGAGAAAGUAGAGAAUCAACCAAGUUGAAGGCCCCGAAUCCCAAGGCUCGUGAAGGAUAAAGUGUAGUACAAGUUCUUGCCGUCGUUCUAAGCUACAAAUCAAACUUGGGGUGUUGAUUUCGUGGUGGAUGCUCAUAAAAGAUCAAAGUUGAAAAGGUUGACGAACAUUGUAUUACGCUCAAAGGCUGGAAUUAAGGCAACGAUAUACAGGUUGACGACUCAGCUAUUUAGGAGUGCACGUAUCAGCUAUUGGUGAGCCCCAAAUUCCUUCGGGGCGUUGUUAGUUAUCCAGUCAGUUCAGUUUAUAGACAGCUCUAUUAUUCAGCACUCUUAGAGGCUUCA